rnacentral:lncRNA from 1 species
AUGGCAGAGUUAUUUUGCUUACUAAAGGCCCGUUUUCUUUUCCUUUUAAAGACAUGCAACAGGAUUGUUUUUGCUUGUGAAAGAAUGAGUGGCGUCUGGGAUUUUCAUGACCAAGGAACAGAGCUGUUAGAGAUGGCUGAGAUGUUCUGUUUCAACAGAUGAAGCAGGGUAGAACAUCUGUUAUGUGAUAACUCGUAUGUGCUGUUCCCCAACCGGUAAGCAAUGCAUCCAAUGAAUUCACCUUAAGGAGAAGACCUGCACUGUGUGUGUGUGUGUGUGUGUGUGUGUGUGUGUGUGUACCUGCAAGGUGUG